AGAGCGAAGCCUUUGGAAACAAACAGGCUUUCUCUCCCGCUGCCAGGAGUUGGCCCCUGGGCGAGCGAGCGGUGCGCCAGAGCCCCGCGGCGCGCGGAGCCGCCGCUCCCAGUGGCCCUGAAGGAGGUAAAUACCCCUCCCAUUUUAUGGAUGAGAAAAUUGAGGUUUCAAGAAUGCAGUUGACUUGGCUGGAUUACAUAGCCAGCCCAGGUUUUCCUUGUGGAUGAAAAUUCAAUUAACAGUCAAGAAAGAAAAAGAGAAUUUUAUUCAAGCCAAACUGAGGAUUAUAAUGCAAGAGACAGAUUCUUUCAGAAGCUCGGAGAACAUUCCACCUGUUAGAAGUCAAAGGAAACUACUCGGAAGUUGUUCGAAACUGCUGUUAAAUGGAGAAAAGCUCAGAACCUACCCUCUCCCAUUCUCCUCCUCCUUCCUCUCCUUCGUUGACUUUAUAGUCUCUCCUUUGUGAACUUCCAUAUCCUGACUUGUCUCCUCCACUUGCUCCUGCGCCUCCAAGGGAGAA